AUCGCUUCUCGGCUCCUGUAGCUAAGAUCAAAGUGUAGUAUCUGUUCUUAUCAGCUUAAUAUCUGAUACGCUCCCCAUUGGGGGGCCGGAAUAUUAAACUGCUUUUUGAGAACAGACCGGGUGUCUGGGGCUCGCUCCGAUCCGGUCAACGGUUGGCUCGACAUUGCACUACAGUCGAGAUCGGCCGAAUUUGG
rnacentral:snRNA from 1 species